rnacentral:lncRNA from 1 species
CUCAUUACAUCUGCAUAUCUUUGAUUUUCUCCAGGACAUUUUUGCAACGUAAUAGGUAAAGCUAUGUGAUGUACUCUAUAGGUUCUUGUUUUCUUAUUCUUUUUUUUUCCAUCUUAAGCAUCCUUUGCUCUGAUUUUUGCAUUUCCUUUAAUAGAUAAGUGUCUUUCUUUUGAUGCAAUUGGAAAGCUUUGCUUUUUUUUUUUCUGAGGAAGAUUAGCCCUGAGCUAACAUCUGUUGCCAAUCCUCCUCUUUUUGCUGAGGAAGACUGGCCCUGAGCUAACAUCAGUGCCCAUCUCCCUCUACUUUAUAUGUGGGACGCCUACCACAGCGUGGCUUGCCAAGCUGUGCCAUGUCCACACCCAGGAUCUGAAUCAGCGAGCACCGGGCCACUGAAGCAGAACAUGCGAACUUAACCCCUGGGCCACCAGGCUGGCCCCUGGAAAGAAAUUUUUAAAACCCUUUUGGGGAAUCAUUAUUUGAAAACAGAAGGCUAACAAAUGAUCUAUCACUUUGAUUAACCCACUGUAUGGUCUUUUUUUUUUUUCUUUUGAGGAAGAUUAGCCCUGAGCUGACAUCUGCCACCACCUAUCCUCCUCUUCUUUGCUGAGGAAGACUAGCCCAGAGCUAACAUCCGUGCCCAUCUUCCUCUACCUUAUAUAUGGGACGCCUACCACAGCAUGGCUUGCCAUGUCCACACCCGGGGUCUGGGCCCGCGAACUCAUGGCUGCCAAAGCAGAGCAUGAGAACUUAACCACUGUGCCACCAGACCGGGCCCAGGUCUUCUUGCUUUGAGGGGAUAGUACACGGCAUAGACAGAGAGAAGCUAGGCACUAUCUCCUAUUCAGAUAUCCUUUCCUUGUACUUUGUCUUUCUGGAGAGCCUUGAAAGUAGUUGUCCUGAGUGGUUUAUAGUUUAUCCAUGUUCUGAAUGAUGCUUCUAGAGAAGAUUUAAGUGAUCCUGAGGGUGCAGAGAAGUAGCAGGAUUGAAAGCCAUAAUUACUAUGAAACAAGAUAUUCUGUCUAGAGUGAAGUAAUUUGCUAAACAUGAAUUCUGUAGUAGCAAUAUAGGUGGAUCCGUCAUACUGUCAGCAAGAGAUAUAGAAACAUGGGCAUUCUUUGAGUAUCCAUUUGAAACUAUAGGCAUGGUCAUCCAUCUCUGUGAUUGGUGGGCAGUAGACUUAGAGAUUCUUGAAGAAUCUCGAAGAUUCUGUCAGGCAUAGGGUUAUGAGGAACAUGCUAGAGACACGAUGCAGGCACAACACAAAGCCUGUUGUGGGGAGCAUUUAUAGAAGAGUCAGCAAAGUGUCCACAGUCUCCCAAGACCCCAUUAUCCCAUAGGGAGGCAAGCUUGGGUCAGGCACAGCUGGACAUUCUACAAAUAGUGUUCCAGGAAAAAACCCUGCCCUCAAGCUGCUCUAUGUAUUCAAGGUGAAUGAGAGGGAAUGGGGACACUAAUCAACCAGAGUUUUCUAGUUGGAGGAAUGGCCAUGACCACUAGAGGGACAUUUUGUGGGACAGUUGUCUAAAGAAGUUCAAACAUCGGCGCUGGUACCUGCAAGUAACCCGUUGUGGCCCUUCCUGCUCCACCAGCUCAGACCUGCUGAGCCAGCUCUUUGCUAGGCUACACACGGGUAGAGGGAAUUGUCUUAGCAUCCCAGCAGACAGAGGGUUUAUCUCCUCUCGCUUCUAAAUCUGGGAUUUAAAUUGAAGGGAAUGGUUUGAAGGGAAUGAGCCAUUCAUGGAGGCAGAUACCACUGCAAGUUGAUUGCAAUGAUUGUUAUAGUGGGGAUUGGGUCAGGAAAUAAGAUUUGCUCUUAAGAGGACCAUGUCAAAUCUACGAAAAGGGUCAUCUAUGAGAUAAAAUCUAGGAUUUUCUAGAAAUGUUUGGUUACCAAUCUGUUCAUUCUUUGGGAGCCAGGGCUUCCCAGGUCAGUCCUCGAGCUACGUACAGAUAUUCUUUUUUUUUUUUUUUUUUUUUUUUGAGGGAAGAUUAGCCCUGAGCUAACUACUGCCAAUCCUCCUCUUUUUGCUGAGGAAGACUGGCUCUGAGCUAACAUCCAUGCCCAUCUUCCUCCACUUUUUUUGUACGUGGGACGCCUACCACAACAUGGCUUGCCAAGCGGUGUCACGUCCAUACCCAGGAUCCAAACCGGCGAGCCCCGGGCCACCGAGAAGCGGAGCCUGCCAACUUAACCGCUGCACCACGAGGCCAGCCCCCUAGGUACAGAUAUUCUAAGUGUGGUCCAAGGCAUGUGUGUCAUAUGGAAUGGCCCCAGAUUCUGCUUAUACCCCAUUGGCCAGAUAUUACUCACACGGCCACAUCUAACUUUUAGAAGGUUGGGAAAUGGAUUUCUUUUUCUGAAUGGCACGUGUGCCCAGAUAAAAACUCUCUGGCAGUUUAUCCCAAACCCUUCAUGACAGUAUCAGUGAAAAAGGAUUUGUUAUACAAAUACAAGGGUAUCUUAUGGAAGCAGAGGGCAGGAAGCCUAACCAGGCCUAAUGAAGACCUUGAAUAGGGCUUAUCAGGAACCAAGGCCAUUGUUCUAUCUAUCUUUCUAGAAGCAAAAAGGGCCUUGACCAUGCCUUUCUGAGCAGAUCAGCCCUUUGCUUGCUCAUCAGCACACAUUCACUCAGCAAAUGUUUAAUGAACACUUACCACGGACUAAGACUGUUCUGACACUGAGGAUAAAGAAGGGAAUCAAAGAGGCAAAAACACAUAUCCUCAAAACAUUCAUCUGAGGCCCGAAAGUUAUAUAUUUCCUUUCUUCCAAGGACCCAUAAUUUUCCAACUUCCUGUUUCUAUUUCUUAAUUCCAAUUCUUCUACAGGAUUAAGUGGAGGUCUUAAAACUUCAAAGAAAAUUGGUUUCAGGUUGCAGAGGUUCAGCCUCCUGACCUCCUAGCAGCAGAGGGCACCAUUGAGCCUCAGGUGCAGUGAAAAAGGGUUCAGAAGCCCAGCCAGACCUCUUUUCUGACUUCUGUGUUCCAGGUGCCCCUCAGCUGUGCAGAGAGUGACUUCUAAGGUUCAGGUUGAGGCCUGGGAGCCAGGAGUCAUCGUGACAGUGGUGAGAUGGGAAACCUCCAUGCAAAGCACAGAGAAAGAGAGUAAAAGUUAGUAGGCACCGUGAAACUGAAGUAGAAAACCAAACAAUGCCAAUAAAAUGUCAGUCUGAAGGAAACAGGCUGAGACAAAAAGCAGGUACAAGGAAGUAAGACAACAGGAGGCAACAAGAUGAGACAGCCCCCAACAACAAAGAAUUAUUCCAGCCAAAAGGUCAAGGUGUCAAGACUGGCAAACCCUGUUUUAGACCAACCAGGCCCACUCCUCUGAAGCACCCGGGCUACUUGUUGGAGAGGUAAACACCAGAGAAAGACUGAUAACGAGCAGUCAGAGGGGUAGGAGAAGAUGGAAAAAAUGUCCUGUUCAAAAGCCAAAGGAGGGGCCAGCCCGGUGGCACAGUAGUUAAGUCUGCACAUUCCACUUCGGCGGCCCUGGGUUCGCUGGUUGCGAUCCCAGGUGCAGACCUAUGCACCAUUUGUCAAGCCAUGCUGUGACAGGCACCCCACAUAUAAAAUAGAAGAAGAUGGGCACAGAUGUUAGCUCAGGGCCAAUCUUCCUCAGCAAAAAGAGGAGGGCUGGCGGUGGAUGUUAGCUAAGAGCUAAUCUUCCUCAAAAAAAGAAAAAAAGCCAAAGGAGGAGAAUUUUAAGAAAGAAAACAUGGUCAGUAGUGUCAAAUGCUGUGGAGAGGUCAGGCAAGUUUAUAACUGAAAAUUGUCCACUAGUUUUAUCCGUAAAGGGGUUACUUGUUCCUUUGCCCAAGAAGUUCCAGUAGGAUGGUAAAGGACCAAAGUUAGGCUGACAUGGAUCGAGGAGUGAGUGAGAGGCGAGGACCAAGAGACUCUAACUAUAGUCUAGGCAACUCAUUCAAGAAGCUUGUCUGUGAAGGGAAGGAGAGAGAGAAAGCUGAAGGGUCAAGGGAGUAACUUGUUUUUAAAUAAUGAAGAGACAGGAUCAUUUUUUAAAUGCUGACAGGAAAGAUCCAAAAGAAAGUAAAAGGUAAAAGAGAGAGGGAAAAAUGAGGAUGUUCUCUGAGAAGACAAUGCUAUGCAGAGCCGUGCUUCUCAAACUGUAACAUGCUUAUGAAUCGCCUGCAGGAUUCUGUUAAAUGGAUGUUCUGAGUAAGUCUGUGUUGGGGCCUAACAGUCUACAUUUCUAACAAACUCCCAGGUGAGGCCAAUGCUGCUGGGCCAGGGGACCCACUGUGAAAAGUAAGAAUUUAGAGCAGUGGUUCUCAAACUUAAGAAUCACCUUGUGGACUUGUUAAAAUAAACGUUACUGGGCCCCACUCCCAGAGUCUCUGAUUCAGUACAUCAGGAAUGGGGCAUGAGAAUUUGCAUUUCUAACAAGCUCCCGGGUGCUGCUGAUGCUGCAAGUCCAGAGAUCAUACUCUAAGUACCAUUGAUUUAGCGUAUAUGGUGAGAAAAUGACCUUAGAAGAGCAAGCUUCACCACAGAGAAGAUAAGGAAAAGGCAAAGACUGACAGGGUUGCAGAUAAGUUUGUAGGCUUGGGGGGAGGUAGAAUGCUGAAGAACUUACUGCCCGUUGGCCUGUAUCUUCUCUGCGAAGUAGGAGAGAAAUCAUCAGCUGAGAGCAAGGGAGAGGCUGAGGGGAUAAGGAACUAUAAAUAUGAGGCAAAAACUUAUUGCCCUCCAGUAAGCUCUUCUCAUAAGACCAUACAAGAAGGCAAUUUGCCUUGUUACUUAUUGAAAGAACGUUUUGAAAUUAAUUCAUCCAGACAAGUUGACCAGAAAGUUAUGUGGUAUGGUGGAGGAAUUGUUAGAUUUUCCUUAGGCUUUGCAAAGGCGUUCCUGGACCCAAUUUCAACGUGUGUGUGUAGGCUUCCCCACAUCAACAAGCAGUUCUUGGUCACUAGCAGAGUGUCCAAGAAUUCAACUCAAUUCUAACACCGUCUACCUGGAAAUAGAUUCAGAUUCCACUGGUAAAGGUCUCAGUUCCACAGGACUGCCUUCCCCUUCAGAUGCCAGCCAGUCACAAGCCCAGGUCGCCUGUGCUUCUGACUGACUGGUUAUAAAACAGGUUUCAACGACCCCCUCCUCAGAUUCGACUAAUUUGCUAGAAUGGCUCACAGAACUCAAGAAAAUCCAUUUACUCACUAAAUUAUCGAUUUAUUACAAAGGAUAUUAAAGGAUACUAAUCAAAAGCCAGAUGAAGAGAUACAUAGGGCAAGGUCCUGAAUGGAGGAGCUUCUGUCCUGGUGGAGCUUGGGGCCUGGCACGGUGGCACAUGGAAGCAUUUUAGCUCCCCAACGUGAAAGCUCUCCAAAAAAAGAGGGCUAAUGAGCUGUCCUUCUGGGUUUUUUCAAGGCCUCAUUACAUAAUAGUGAUUGACUAAGUCAUUGGCCAUUGGCAAUUGAUUCAGCCUUAAGAUUUCCCCGCCUCUUCCCCAGAAAACAGAAGGUAUGACUGAAAGUUCCAACCCUCUGAUCACAAGAUCUGAUCACUUAUUAAAGUGAUCAAGAGCUGAUUCUCCUUUUUUUUUAAGAUUUUAUUUUUUUUCCUUUUUCUCCCCAAAGCCCCCCAGUACAUAGUUGCGUAUUCUUUGUUGUGCGUCCUUCUAGUUGUGGCAUGUGGGACGCUGCCUCAGCGUGGUUUGAUGAGCAGUGCCAUGUCUGCGCCCAGGAUUCGAACCAACGAAACACUGGGCCACCUGCAGCGGAGUGCGCAAACUUAACCACUCGGCCACUGGGCCAAUCAAAGAGCUGAUUCUCUUGACAACCAGCCACCACCCUUGGAUCGGGUUCAAAAGUCACCUCAUUAAUAUAACAAAAGGCACCCUUAUGGCUCUCAUCACUCAGGAAAUUGAAAUUCCAAGAAUUUUGGGAGCUGAGAGCCAGGAACUGUGGAUGAAGCCCAAAUAUAUAUGAGAAAUAUAUUUUGAUCAUCUGAAUGACCAAAUAUACAUUUCUUAUAAAUCACAAUAUUGCAGACUGGUAACUAGAAACAUCUGCUUUGGAAAUUUCCGAGCCCGAGUCUUGUUGACCAGGCAUUUUGAUGUAGAAAUUUAGGAAUUCAAUUGGUUUUAGGGGCCAGCCCGGUGGCACAGCAGUUAAGUUUGCAUGCUCUACUUUGGCGGCUCGGGGUUUGCCGGUUCAGAUCCCAGGCGUGGACCUUGGUACUGCUUGUCGACCAUGCUGCGGCAGGCAUCCCACAUAUAAAAUAGAGGAAGAUGGGCAUAGAUGUUAGCUCAGGGCCAAUCUUCUUCAGCAAAAAGAGGAGUAUUGGCGGUGGAUGCUGAUGCGGGUUCGGUGAGCCAAGGAGUCGAAAGAAAGAUUUCCUGGACUGUCAAGAUCUGGCAUUAGUGCUCUUUUAUUUGGAGAAUAGUGUGGAAUAGCAUGGGGACAGGACCCAUGGGCAGUCAGGCUGCUGCGUGGGGACAGGGCCCAUGGGCAGGAGGAGCUGCUGCUGCCCCGAGGUGAGGGUUAGGGCUAAUUUUAUAAGGCAUGGGUAUGUGAGUCAUCUCUUUAUAAGACAAAGGAAAGAACAUGAAAAAAGUUAAAAUGGUAUCAGUGUAGGUGGGGUCUGGUCAUUGGGUGAUCCCAUAACUUUUAGACAAGAAUCAAAUCGGAUUAAGUAAAGGUCAGAAGCCACCACCCUAAAUCAGUUACAUGAGACUGCCAGACAGCAACCAACUUAAGUUCUUGCCUUCCCCAUUAAGAGUUUCUAGGGACAAGGUCAUCUCUUUUCUUCUUCCUGGUACAGAGAGGGAGGCACCUUUUACAGAUAGAGAUUUACCUUACAAAUGUAAAUGUGUCCCAACAAAGGGCAAGUUCCAUUCCUCAGAGCCUCCUUCCCUGUCCCAGUUUAUCAAAAGCAAUCAGCCCCAAACAAUCCCGAUGCCAAAGAGACAGAUCCUGAGGUGGCCAAUUUCAGGUCCCUACAAGGUCAUCCCCCCUUCCUUGACAAAUGCAAAUAUUUCUCAAAGAGCAAGCAAAUUCCAGUCCUCGGAGCCUGCUUCUCAUCUGCAGUUUUAAAAUUAAGCAGCCUAAAAUCCUCAUCAGAUGUUAGCUCAGGGCUAAUCUUCCUCUAAAAAAAAAAGUUUUGCAAACAAUUGGUUUGUUUUUUUUUUUUAAAGAUUGGCACCUGAGCUAACAACUGUUACCAAUCUUUUUUUUUUCUUCUUCUUCUUUAUCUCCCCAAACCCCACAGUACAUAGUUGUAUGUCUUAGUUGCAGGUCCUUCUAGUUGUGGGAUGUGGAACGCCGCCUCAGCAUGGCCUGACGAGCAGUGCCAUGUCCACGCCCGGAUCCGAACCCUGGGCCGCCAAGCGGAGCGCGCGAACUUAACCACUCAGCCACGGAGCCGGCCCCCAAACAAUUGGUUUUAAAAGGCAGAAUGGCAUAGAAUUUAUGAGAGGGUAGACUCUAGAACCAGAGGCUAUGGUUUCUAAUCCUGCCUCACCACAUACCACUGUGAAACCUUGGGCAAAUGAGUUAACUUCUCUUAGCUUCAGUUUCUCACUUGUUACAUGGGGCCAAUGAUGGUACCUAUCUCGUAGAGUUGUUGGGAGAAUUAAAUGAGAUAAUGUGGUAAGCACUUAGCUCAAUGCCUGUCACAGUAAGUGCUUUACCAAGUCAAUUUCUCUCUUAGAGUCUCAGCUUCACAAAGUUCUUGUGAGGGGAUUGGAUUAAGUCAAUUCUAAGGCCACACUCAUCUUCAUUCAUAAUUCUAGGUGACCAUUCAUUGAAGUUUCAAAAUAUAUAGAAAUAUUGUUGUUAAUGUAAAAGCUAACAUUUACUGAGCCAUUUUUGUGUGCUAGGCAUUAUUUUAACCAGUUUACACGUAUGAAUUCAGUUGAUCCUUACAAUAGCUCCAUGAGAUGAGUUCUAUUAUUAUCCCCAUUUUGUAGAUGAGAAAACUGGCACUGGAAGGAAAUUUGCUCAAAGUCACAGAGGAAAUAUGCAAUAGAGUUUGCUCCCACACAGUCUAACUCCAGGGCUAUAUUCUCCACCACUGCACAGUGUAGCCUCUUCAGGGUGUGUAAUGUGAAUUCACUUCAGACUAUGUGUCAAAUAAGUGGAUCAGAUGAGGUAAUUGUCAGUUGGUAUUAAUGAAUUUUAGGAUUUCAGUGUCUAGAAAAUGGUUUCAGGAACAAGCUGUUCCUGUUUUUGCUCGGAUCCCAAGAAGAUGACCUUGUGGUGACCACUAGGGUGUGGUACCAAUUAACCAGGGGUUAGUUUUAAGCAUAUUACUUCAUACAAACUCUCAACAGUCUCCUCUAUAGGUGGCCAUAUAAUUAUACUUAUUUAACUGGUGUCAGACACAAAUAAUCAAUAACCAAUCUAUAGAUAAGAAAGAUAGAGUGAUAUUUAUUAAGCAAAUGCUGAGGACUAGCCCAGAAGUGUUAUCUCCACCAGAGAAAAAAGCACUCUGGGGAAGUGUGGUUUACAGCAUGGUUAUAUACAGUUUCAGAACAAAGAACAUACAUCAAGCAUGAGAGGAAUACAAUGUUUUUCCCCCAAAGUCACAAGGAUAUAUUUUGUUGCAGUUUAGCACACACACAGCAGGUCAACUUGAACUUGGUUCUCUGGGAAGAAAAACUUAUCUUCAAAGAAGUACUGGCAUUGGAGUCAGACAAAAGGAGACAUUUAUCCCUAUCUUUAAAGAGUGCAUUCUCUGUUUUGGGAAAAUGUUUGAAGCAGAUGUAAAAUGCAUGUUUGACGGAUAAUAAGUUAGGCUGCUCUGGGAAAAACAAGUUUUAGGCUGAAUCAGAGUUAAAUCACAAUGGCUUCCCCAAAUACCUCAAUAUGGGGAAACAUUAUUUUCACCACUGGACUCUUAUGAUACUUAAAUGGUAUAGUUUAUGUGAAUUGAAAAUUAUAAUAAUGGUUACUAUUUGUUGAAUAUCUAUUUCAUGUUGGAUCCCUUAUAUAAAAUAGGCUUAAUGUAAGAGCUCUGCAAAGGUAAAUACUAAUACUUCAAUUUAAAACAUAAAAAUCUGAAGUUAGGGGCUGGCCCCGUGGCCAAGUGGUUAAGUUCGCGCACUCCACUGCAGGCAGCCCAGUGUUUUGUUGGUUCAAAUCCUGGGUGCGGACAUCGCACUGCUCAUCAAACCACGCUGAGGCAGCAUCCCACAUGCCACAACUAGAAGGACCCACAACGGAGAAUAUACAAUUAUGCACCAGGGGGGUUUGGGGAGAAAAAGGAAAAAAUUAAAUCUUUUAAAAAAAAAAUCUGAAGUUAAAAAUUUGCUAGAGGUCAAAGAAGUUUUCCUAUUUCCAAAGUUUUAGAAUGAAAAUAAUUUUUUCAAAACAAAGUAGUGUACAUUGAACUUUCACAACUUUGGGGUCUCUCAAUCUCCCUAAUAAGGCUUUACUUUCAGUUUAUGAGGUGUUUCACAUCUGGUUCUGGAUAAUUAGUGGCAAUCUUAUUCAGCACCUUCUCUACUGCAGCAUAGUAAAGAGAGGAAGAAAUAAAUCAAUCAACAAACAUAUAGUACAGGAGCCAGCCUUGUGGUGCAGCAGUUAAGUUUGCAUGUUCUGCUUCAGUAGCCUGGGGUCUGCUGGUUCAGAUCCUGGGUGCAGACCUACACACUGCUUAUCAAGCCAUGCUGUGGCAGGCAUCCCACAUAUAAAAUAGAGGAAGAUGGGCAUGGACGUUAGCUCAGGGCCAGUCUUCCUCAGCAAAAAGAGGAGGAUUAGCGGUAGAUGUUACCUCAGGGCUGGUCUUAAAAAAUAUAUAUAUAUAUAUAUAUAGUAUAAAAUAAUAAAAUCCUCAAAGGACAAAUUACAAUGUCAUUGAGAUUUGAUCUGUGGGAAAAGAUUCAGAAGGUGAAGUGAAGUGAGGAGAUGUCAGAAUUGUAGGUUGAUUUGAUGGGAUGAUGGUAGGGAAUGAGGGAGGCAGGGAGAUUCUCUAUUUAAAAUAAAGAUGAUUUCCUCCACCUCACCUGGCAAUGGAUUGAUUUCCCUAUACUCAUUUCAGAAGCUUGUGUCUCAUAGACUUUUCAGUGAUUGACUCUUUUGGACAUGUUUCAUGGGAUGGAACAUAAUGAAUUCUUCCUCUCUCCUCUGCUUCCUCCUCAACAAACACACCUUCCUGCCCAAGAUUAUGUUCAUCUGAUCAAUACCCUUGCCUUUGAGCAGGAUAGUUCCUCUGCCACUCCAGAUCUCUGAGAUGGCCAACUGCCAACCCCAUUCCAUUCCCCAGUCCUAUGACUGUUGAAAAGGAAAAGGAAGAAAAAGUAGCUGAGAUCUUCCAGACUUUUCAGUCCUUUGGAGACUUCACCUGUUUUCUUUGGUUACACUCAGUCCCUCUUUCACUGGACAAACAUGGAAUAUACAUUGAAUACCCACUAGUAUAUACAAUGGCUUGGAAGUAAUUGAAUGAUAGAGCCCAACUAGACCUGCUCCAACAUGACCACCCCAGCUCCCCAGCCUGGAUAUCGUGACACGGAAUCUGUUGAGACCUUAUCUGAAUAUAGCCAUAUCAGAUCACCUGAAAAGGACACUAGAGUUUCCUCUUCAGGUCAGCUGAACUCACCUAACAUUCUUGGAUUUUACCCAAAAUAUGGGUAUCCUUCAUUUAGCCUCUAGAUCUCCCACUCUUUUCUUUUUCUCUCCUAUACUUCCAGACAAUGCCACUAUAUUCUCUCUUUCCUGACUCAUCCUCCCACUGCUCCCUUCCACAGUGAAAUAUUUUUCCACUGUGCCUUCGGAUAUUUAUUGCCAUUAUAAACAAACUUCCCCACAUUCUCUUCUCUUCUGCAAUCUUCCCUCCCUCUCUCCCUUGUUGUCUCAUCCUGAAAAUCCUACUCCCGGUACUAUCCUUUUGAAGUUAGGGGGCUCCUGGUCUCCCGUAAUCCACACAUCAUCAUAGGCUGGAGGGAAUUUAAAAUUUUCCUCAUUUCCAUUAUUUCCAAAUCAGUAGGCUCAGAUGGGUAAAAAUCUCUUUACCACUUUUCUUUCCUAUCCAAGGUUUGCAGUUACUAUUCUACAUCUGUAAGAGCCUGGAGCGCCUGGCUCCUAUCACCCUCUAACCCCUAUAUUGUGCCAGCACCCUGAUAACUUUGCUUUCCUUUGGAAGAACCAUUAAACCCCAUAACCUCACACUUCCACGACUUACUCAAGUAACAUAUAUUGUCACUCCAGGUCAACCAGACUCACAUAUGCUAGAAAUGGCUCCACUUUAGAAGUCUUUGACUCCAAUGUACUUGCCAUUUUCUAUCUUUCACCUCUUCAGGCUCUAAUUUUGAUACUAUUGUUCUUAGAGCAUACAGACACCUAUAGGUCUUUUUUUUCCCCAGCUUUAUUACGUUUGACUGACAAAUGAAAAAAAAAGACCUAUAGGUUCUUGAUCUUUCUUCUUUUCCCAACCCAUCAGCCCCAUUGUUGUGCGCCUUUAGGUCCCUUUAGUUUGACUUCUAUGGUUUAUCAGCUCAACCACUCUUUCAGGAGCACACUCAACUUCCCUACAUCCCUCCCUUCUUCUAUCAACCUGGACAUCAACAUACCAUCUCUAGAACAAAUCCUGUGCCAUCUUCUCUGCUCCUACGUCAAGAAUGAUGAGGAAUGCUAUGAGGAUAAGUGCUGCCACAAAUUUCUGAAUCCGUAGGCCCAGAGUAAUACUCAAGAACCUUAUUCCUGGUCCUUGGUCAAUUCCCUUCCUCUUCUAUUCUUCUCUCCCACCAUUCCAAGCUUUCCCUAUUUGCUUCCAGCCCCUUAAAUCCAGAGCUACUCACUCUGCAGCUGACUCUUGACUAGUUUUUUUUUUUUUUUUUUGCAGAAGAUUAGUCCUGAGCUAAUUACUGCCAAUCCUCCUCUUUUUGCUGAGGAAGACUGGCCUUGAGCUAACAUCCGUGCCCAUCUUCCUCUACUUUAUAUGUGGGACACCUACCACAGCAUGACUUUUGCCAAGCGGUGCCAUGUCCGCACCUGGGAUCUGAACUGGCGAACCCCAGGUCGCUGAGAAGCAGAACAUGCAAACUUAACUGCUGUGCCACCGGGCCAGCCCUUGACUAGUUUUUAAGUCACUUUCAUGUUAUGCAUUUGCAUAACAGAUCUUCCUUCUUGGUCAGUUUUUGUUAUUUUUAUUUUUCCCAAAUCUUUCACUAAUCCAGAUUAAUCCAGUAUAAUACAUUUUUUUUCCUCUUCUUCUCCCCAAGGCCCCCCUCAGUACACAGUUGUAUAUUCUAGUUGGAGGUCCUUCUAGUUCUGCUAUGUGGGACACUUCCUCAGCGUGGCUUGAUGAGCAAUGCUGUGUCCGGGCCCAGGAUCCAAACCGGUGAAACCAUGGGCUGCCGAAGCGGAGCGCCCAAACUUAACACUUGGGCACAGGGCUGGUCCCUAAUACAUAUUUCUCUUAAUCUACAUCUGCAGAAUGAAAAAGACUGAAUCAUAGAGAAGAGCUGAGAAAAGAGAUGGAAGAAAAAGACCAUAUAGCUCCCCAUUUUGAUUGACCCAUCCUCAGUUAUUUGAGCCUAAUAAUCCUUUUUUACUUAAUCUAGUUUGAAUUGGAUUUCUGUCACAACAAAAAGUAUCUCAACUAAUAUAUCCAUCUCUUGUGUAUGCUGUGUUUAUCUUUUUCUUCUGUUGCUUAAGAGUCAUAGACCCAGUGAUUUUCCUCAUUAUUCAUAUUUGAGUGAGGAUGCGUCUAGAUCAGCAAACUACAGCCCAUGAGCCAUACUCAGUCAGCCACCUGUUUUGUUUUUGCAACCCACAAGCUAAGAAUAGUUUUUACAUUUUUUAAUGGUUAUAUUUUAAAUGUUUAUAUAAGAACCAUAGAAGCCUUGAUUGUGUCUCUUGGCCCACAAAGCAUAAAAUGUUUACCUAUCUGGCCGUUUAAGAAAAAUCUUGCCAACCCCUGAUUUAGAUAGACAUGGUCAUUAACUAAAAAUAUUGGGCAUUUAUUUUCCUUGGGUCCCUCACUAUUUACCUGGCUGCUGCUGGAGUCCUUCAUUACGUGGGUUUAAAUAAUCAGUUCAGCAUUUCAAACAUCCUGCAAAGGGUUGAGAGGAAGUCAGAGUCAUGGGUCAACUUAUCCAGAAGUUUGUCUUGGUGGACCUUUUCCCAUUGUUUGUUCAAAUUCCUGCCCAGGUAAUAGUUUUUGAUGUCCGAUUUUCUGUUUGGCUUAGCUUCUACUUUAGGUACAGGUGUAUGGCUUCCUUCCUGGCUGUUUUGCAAAUUGAGUUGAGGGUAGUUGCCUCAUGGGGUCAGUUGCCCCUAAAAAUAAGGAAACUUCUUGCAGUGUUGAGAUGAGCUACUUGCUCUAAUGAGAUGUACGGUCAGAGAAAGACCUCUCCACGGGUUUUUAUGUUUUCAUGGCCUCUUUUUAUUUUUUAUUUAUUUAUUUAGAGGAAGAUUAGCCUUGAGCUAACAUCUGCCAAUCCUCCUCUGUUUGCUGAGGAAGACUGGCCCUGAGCUAACAUCCAUGCCCAUCUUCCUCUACUUUACAUGUGGGAACGCCUGCCACAGCAUGGCUUGACAAUUGGUGCCAUGUCCGCACCCGCGAUCCGAACUGGCAAACCUAUUUUUUUUUUAACAUUUGUUUUUAUUUUAUUUUUUGUGCUUUUUUCUCCCUGAAUCCCCCCACUACAUAGUUGUAUAUUUUAGUUACGGGUCCUUCUAGUUGUGGCAUGUGGGAUGCCGCCUCAUCAUGGCCUGAUGAGUGGUGCCAUGUCUGUGCCCAGGAUUCGAACCAGUAAAACCCUGGGCCACUGAAGUGAGCGCGCAAACUUAACCACUUGGCCACAGGGCCAGCUCCUCAGGGCCUCUUUUUAUUUCCUAAACUCUGCGCAAUCUGCCUUCAGGUGCUAUUGGUCUGUAGUAUCAAAAGAGAUUCCAGGGGGCCAGCCGUGGCAGAGUGGUCAAGUUCGUGUGCUCCACUUCGGGGGCCCAAGGUUUCACCAGGUUUGGAUCCUGGUCAUGGACAUGGCACUGCUCAUCGGGCCAUGCUGGGACGGUGUCCCACAUGCCACAACUAGAAGGACCCACAACUAAAAAUACACAACUAUGUACCAGGGGGCUUUGGGAGAAAAAGGAAAAAUAAAAUCUUUAAAAAAUAAAAAUAAAUAAAUAAAUAAUAAAAAUAUAUAAUUAUCUACCAGGGGGCUUUGGGGAGAAAAAAGA